UUUUCAGUCUCAUGCUCUGCCAGUGAGGAGGGGCACAAGAAGCCCAGAGGAAACAGACAGGACACCUGACCCAAACUAGCCAAAGGGGUAUUCCAUACCACAGCUCGUCAUGCCCAGUACAGAAACUGGGGGGAGUUACACAGAAGGCCCAGAUCACUGCUUGGGUCAGGCUGGUUAUUGGUCAGCUGGUGCUGAGGUGUUGUAUUCUCUUCCCUUGUUAUUUCCUUUAUCAUUAUUAUCAUUGGUGGUAGCAGUAGUGAUUUGUGUUAUACCUUAG